rnacentral:misc_RNA from 1 species
GAUGAAGAACGCAGCGAAAUGCGAUAAGUAAUGUGAAUUGCAGAAUUCAGUGAAUCAUCGAAUCUUUGAACGCACAUUGCGCCCGCCAGUAUUCUGGCGGGCAUGCCUGUUCGAGCGUCAUUUCAACCAUCAAGCCCCCGGGCUUGUGUUGGGGACCUGCGGCUGCCGCAGGCCCUGAAAACCAGUGGCGGGCUCGCUAGUCACUCCGAGCGUAGUAGUUACAUCUCGCUCAGGGCGUGCUGCGGGUUCCGGCCGUUAAAAGCCUUUUACCCCAAGGUUGACCUCGGAUCAGGUAGGAAGACCCGCUGAACUUAAGCAUAUCAAUAGCGGAGGA